AGGACAGGCCUUUCAGGCAUCCUCUCCCAAACUUUCAAGGGCCGCCCGGCAACGGAGCGGCCCCUUUUUUGGGUUGUU
rnacentral:sRNA from 1 species